UACGUAGGGCGCAAGCGUUAUCCGGAAUUAUUGGGCGUAAAGAGCUCGUAGGCGGUUUGCCGCGUCUGCCGUGAAAGUCCGGGGCUCAACCCCGGAUCUGCGGUGGGUACGGGCAGACUAGAGUGAUGUAGGGGAGACUGGAAUUCCUGGUGUAGCGGUGAAAUGCGCAGAUAUCAGGAGGAACACCGAUGGCGAAGGCAGGUCUCUGGGCAUUAACUGACGCUGAGGAGCGAAAGCAUGGGGAGCGAACAGG
rnacentral:rRNA from 1 species